GCCCGGGUAGACGAAUGGCAUAGUCACGCGGUCUUAAAAACCGCUGCCCCUUUGGGGCGUGUGGGUUCGAAUCCCACCCCGGGUAC
rnacentral:tRNA from 1 species